UACGUAGGUGGCAAGCGUUGUCCGGAUUUACUGGGCGUAAAGAGCGCGCAGGCGGUCGUUCAAGUCGAGUGUGAAAGCCCCCGGCUCAACUGGGGAGGGUCAUUCGAUACUGAUCGACUCGAAGGCAGGAGAGGGUAGUGGAAUUCCCGGUGUAGUGGUGGAAUGCGUAGAUAUCGGGAGGAACACCAGUGGCGAAGGCGGUUGCCUGGAGCUUUGCUGACGCUGAGGCGCGAAAGCGUGGGGAGCGAUCCGG
rnacentral:rRNA from 1 species